rnacentral:rRNA from 1 species
GAUGAACGCUGGCGGCGUGCCUAAUACAUGCAAGUCGAGCGAACAGACAAGGAGCUUGCUCCUUUGACGUUAGCGGCGGACGGGUGAGUAACACGUGGAUAACCUACCUAUAAGACUGGGAUAACUUCGGGAAACCGGAGCUAAUACCGGAUAAUAUGUCGAACCGCAUGGUUCAAUAGUGAAAGACGGUUUUGCUGUCACUUAUAGAUGGAUCCGCGCCGGAUUAGCUAGUUGGUAAGGUAACGGCUUACCAAGGCGACGAUGCGUAGCCGACCUGAGAGGGUGAUCGGCCACACUGGAACUGAGACACGGUCCAGACUCCUACGGGAGGCAGCAGUAGGGAAUCUUCCGCAAUGGGCGAAAGCCUGACGGAGCAACGCCGCGUGAGUGAUGAAGGUCUUCGGAUCGUAAAACUCUGUUAUUAGGGAAGAACAGAUGUGUAAGUAACUAUGCACGUCUUGACGGUACCUAAUCAGAAAGCCACGGCUAACUACGUG